rnacentral:rRNA from 1 species
GACAGAGGUCCCGAGCGUUAGGCGGAAUCACUGGGCUUAAAGCGUGUGUAGGCGGAUGCCUACGUACCUUGUGAAAUCCCACGGCUCACCCGUGGAACUGCUUGGUAUACUGGGUGUCUUGAGCCACUUAGGGGCUACCGGAACAAAUGGUGGAGCGGUGAAAUGCGUAGAUAUCAUUUGGAACGCCAAUGGUGAAAACAGGUAGCUGGGAGUGUGCUGACGCUGAGACACGAAAGCCAGGGGAGCAAACGGG